GGGCCCGUGGCUCAGACUGGAUAGAGCGCCUGCCUUAUAUGGCGGCUCCCGCUACAGAGCGCCAGGGGAAAAGCGGGAGGUCGGGGGUUCAAGUCCCCCCGGGCCCA
rnacentral:tRNA from 1 species